UGGGGAAUAUUGCGCAAUGGGGGGAACCCUGACGCAGCAACGCCGCGUGAAGGAUGAAGGUUUUCGGAUUGUAAACUUCUUUGAUGAGGGACGAAGAAAUGACGGUACCUCAAAAACAAGCCACGGCUAACUACGUGCCAGCAGCCGCGGUAAUACGUAGGUGGCGAGCGUUGUCCGGAAUUACUGGGUGUAAAGGGCGUGUAGGCGGGUUGGCAAGUCAGAUGUGAAACCCCUCGGCUUAACUGAGGGACUGCAUCUGAAACUGCUGAUCUUGAGUGCUGGAGAGGAAAGCGGAAUUCCCAGUGUAGCGGUGAAAUGCGUAGAGAUUGGGAGGAACACCAGUGGCGAAGGCGGCUUUCUGGACAGUAACUGACGCUGAGGCGCGAAAGCGUGGGGAGCAAACAGG
rnacentral:rRNA from 2 species